rnacentral:rRNA from 1 species
CCUACGGGAGGCAGCAGUGGGGAAUAUUGCACAAUGGGCGAAAGCCUGAUGCAGCAACGCCGCGUGAAGGAAGAAGGGUUUCGGCUUGUAAACUUCUAUCAACAGGGACGAAAGAAAUGACGGUACCUGAAUAAGAAGCCGGGGCAAACUACGUGCCAGCCGCCGCGGAAAUACGUAGGGGGCAAGCGUUAUCCGGAUUUACUGGGUGUAAAGGGUGUGUAGGCGGCAUGGUAAGUCAGAUGUGAAAGCCUUGGGCUUAACCCGAGGAUUGCAUUUGGAACUAUCAAGCUAGAGUACAGGAGAGGAAGGCGGAAUUCCUAGUGUAGCGGUGAAAUGCGUAGAUAUUAGGAGGAACACCAGUGGCGAAGGCGGCUUUCUGGACUGAAACUGACGCUGAGGCACGAAAGCGUGGGGAGCGAACAGGAUUAGAUACCCCAGUAGUC